AUUGAACGCUAGCGGGAUGCUUUACACAUGCAAGUCGAACGGCAGCGCGGACUUCGGUCUGGCGGCGAGUGGCGAACGGGUGAGUAAUGUAUCGGAACGUGCCCAGUAGCGGGGGAUAACUACGCGAAAGCGUAGCUAAUACCGCAUACGCCCUACGGGGGAAAGCAGGGGAUCGUAAGACCUUGCACUAUUGGAGCGGCCGAUAUCGGAUUAGCUAGUUGGUGAGGUAACGGCUCACCAAGGCGACGAUCCGUAGCUGGUUUGAGAGGACGACCAGCCACACGGGGACUGAGACAGGGACCCGAAUCCUACGGGAGGCAGCAGUGGGGAAUAUUGGACAAUGGGGGAAAACCUGAUACAACCCUCCCGCGUGUGGGAUGAAGGCCUUCGGAUUGUAGAGAACUUUUGGCAGGAAAGAAACAUCGCGGGCUAAUACCCCGUGGAACUGACGGUACCUGCAGAAUAAGCAACGGCUAACUACGUG
rnacentral:rRNA from 1 species